rnacentral:rRNA from 1 species
CUGAUGCAGCGACGCCGCGUGAGGGAUGACGGCCUUCGGGUUGUAAACCUCUUUCAGCAGGGACGAAGCGCAAGUGACGGUACCUGUAGAAGAAGCACCGGCCAACUACGUGCCAGCAGCCGCGGUAAUACGUAGGGUGCGAGCGUUGUCCGGAAUUACUGGGCGUAAAGAGCUCGUAGGUGGUUUGUCGCGUUGUUCGUGAAAACUCACAGCUCAACUGUGGGCGUGCGGGCGAUACGGGCAGACUUGAGUACUGCAGGGGAGACUGGAAUUCCUGGUGUAGCGGUGGAAUGCGCAGAUAUCAGGAGGAACACCGGUGGCGAAGGCGGGUCUCUGGGCAGUAACUGACGCUGAGGAGCGAAAGCGUGGGGAGCGAACAGGAUUAGAUACCCUGGUAGUCCACGCCGUAAACGGUGGGUACUAGGUGUGGGUUUCCUUCCUUGGGAUCCGUGCCGUAGCUAACGCAUUAAGUACCCCGCCUGGGGAGUACGGCCGCAAGGCUAAAACUCAAAGAAAUUGACGGGGGCCCGCACAAGCGGCGGAGCAUGUGGAUUAAUUCGAUGCAACGCGAAGAACCUUACCUGGGUUUGACAUGCACAGGACGCCGGCAGAGAUGUCGGUUCCCUUGUG